rnacentral:rRNA from 1 species
GGUUUGAUCUAGCUCAGAUUGAACGCUGGCGGGAUGCUUUACAUACGAAGUCAGAACAGCACGGACUUCAGAUCUGGUGGCGAUGUGAACAGGUGAUAAUGUAUCGGAACGUGCCUAGUAGCGGGGAUAACCGCGGCGCUGGCUUCGCUAAUACCGCAUACGCCCGCUUCGGGGAAAAGCAGGGGACCUUCGGGCCUCGCCGCACAAUGGAAGCGGCCGAUAUCGGAUUAGCUAGUUGGUGGGGUAACGGCUCACCAGGCGACGAUCCAUAACUGGUUUGAGAGGACGACCAGCCACACUGGGACUGAGACACGGCCCAGACUCCUACAGGAGGCAGCGAUGGGGAAUUUUGGACAAUGGGAAACCCUGAUCCAGCCAUCCCGCGUGUGCGAUGAAGGCCUUCCGGGUUGUAAAAGCACUUUUGGCGGAAAGAAACGGCACGGGAUAAUACCCAUUGCGGCGACGGUGCCUGCAGAAUAAGCACCAGCUAACUGACUGGCAACCGCAGUAAUAUGCAUGGGGUGCAGCGGCGUUAAUCGGAAUUACUGGGCGUAAAGCGUGCGCAGGCGGUUCGGAAGAAGAUGUGUGAAAUCAGAGCUUAACUGGAACUGCAUUUUUAACUACGAGCUAGAGUGUGUCAGCAGAGGAGGUGGAAUUCCGCGUGUAGCAGUGAAAUGCGUAGAUAUGCGGAGAACACCUCGAUGGCGAAAGCUGCUCUGGGGACUCUUUACUGACGCUCAUGCACGAAAGCGUGGGAGCAAACAGGAUAGAUACCUGGUAGUCCACGCCCUAAACGAUGUCAACUGGCUGUUGGGGCCUUCGGGCCUUGGUAGCGCAGCUAACGCGUGAAGUUGACCGCCUGGGAAAUACAGUCGCAGAUCAAACUCAAAGGAAUUGACGGGGACCCGCACAAGCGGUGGAUGAUGUGGAUUAAUUCGAUACAACGCGAAAAACCUUACCUACCUUGACAUGUCUGGAAUCCCGAGAUUUGGGAGUGCUCCUGCAAGAGAACAGGAACACAGGUGCUGCAUGGCUGUCGUCAGCUCGUGUCGUGAGAUGUUGGGUUAAGUCCCGCAACAGGCGCAACCCUUGUCAUUAGUUGCUACGAAGAAGGAGCACUCUAAUGAGACUGCCGGUGACAAACCGGAGGAAGGUGGGGAUGACGUCAGAGUCCUCAUGGCCCUUAUGGGUGACUGCACGUCAUACAAUGGUCAGGACAGAGGUCGCCAACCCGCGAGGAGCCAAUCAGAAACCCGAUCGUAGUCGGAUCGCAGUCUGCAGCUCGACUGCGUGAAGUCGGAAUCGCUAGUAAUCGCGGAUCAACAUCGCGGUGAAUACGAUUCCCGGGUCUUGUACACACCGCCCGUCACACCAUGGGAGUGGGUUUUACCGAAGUAGUUAGCCUAACCGUAAGGAGGGCGAUUACCACGGUAGGAUUCAUGACUGGGGUGAAGUCGUAACUAAGGUA